rnacentral:rRNA from 1 species
GACGAACGCUGGCGGCGUGCUUAACACAUGCAAGUCGAACGGAAAGGCCCCUUUGGGGGUACUCGCUUGGCGAACGAGUGAGUGACACGCGAGUAACCUGCCCUUGACUUCGGGAUAACUUCAUGAAACUGGGGCUAAUACCUGAUAGGUAUCCUUUCUGCCUGGUUGGGGGUGGAAAGCUUCUGCGGGUUUGGAUGGACUCGCUGCCUAUCAGCUUGCUUGUUGGGUAGUGGGUUACCAAGGGUUUGACGGGUAGGCGGCCUGGGAGGGCGAACGGCCAAAUUGGGACCGGGAUAAGGCCCAGAAUCCUACGGGGGGCAGCAGUUGGGAAUAAUGCAAAAUGGGGGGAAGGCCGAAGCCAGAAAGGCGGGUGGGGGAUGAAGGCCUUCGGGUUGUAAACCGCUUUCAGCAGGGGCGAAGCUUGUGGUGACGGUAACUGCAGAAGAAGCACCGGCUAACUACGUG